AUCAUUCCUUUUUAAAUUUUAUUUUUCAAUCAACUUUUCAACCUGCUGCUGAGUAUUUGCGAUGAUAUGUUCAACUCCAUGAUGAGCGUGUCCGGGAUAAGGUGUAAACAUCAGCAAACGCAUUUAAAAAAAAAAAAAAAAAAGUUCGGAUCCAACAACGGUUCAACAAGGUCGACCAGCUGCCUCUGGUUGCUCGUUUAUAAACAUCAGCUUUACUUUUCCAAUCAUUUUUAACGGCUAAAAUGAUUUAAAGUGAGCAAAUUUGUUCCAAAUCGAGAAUACAAAACAUAAUAUUAAUAAGACACUAGUGACUACAGGGUUGACUUAACUCACAAGUACACCAAAUUUACAACAUUCUAGAUUUUCCAGUUACGAGGCCGUCAAUUUCUUUGUGAGCCAUAAUAUGAUUUAAGCAUAAGCUUCACACACUCUACCCACUAGACUGCAGCAGUGAAAUUCACAACACCGGGCCACUUGUUCUAGUUGGCUCCCUCACCAGUUAAGUACAGAACUCUGUUGUGUUUUGCACUUGCGUUUGCGAGUAUUUAGCAUAAUUUCUACUUACGGGCCCUAAGAAACUGGGUGUUGAGAAGAAGCGAAGGUGUGUUUUUUUUUUUUUUUUUGUCAACUUAAC